UGCCGGGAAGUCCGACCUCCCACAAAACUUUGUCGUCAUUAUUACCACUAUUACAAUUGUACUCAGAAAGCUUCACUUCUCCACCCAUGUUUCGACGUGGGACAGAGCAGCAGAUACCGAUUUGAUGAAAAUAUUAUGAAGGAUUUCAAAAAUGGAGGAGAGGAAGAUAGAAAAAAGAAAAAAGAGAAAAAAGGGUGAGGAGUUUAUUUUUUGGACCAUUUCACGCACUUGAAAAAUAUUUUGGUACUGACCCGAGCUGAUCGAGAGGUUAGCAGCUGGACUUGCUCGGCAGGAGACCCAAGGUAGAUCUACUGGCGUCUGCAGACCCUAGAGUCUCAUCCCAGUCACAUUAUUUUACUGUUUCUUUUCCUUCAGAACAAUGCAUUUUCUUUAGACUCUGUUUGUAGUAAAUCAUAGUAGCUCG